UUCCUGAUUUUCCCAUCGUUCGGGGCAUUCUGGGGCUGUUUUGGCUAUUGGUUGCUUGUUUGGUCUUGAGCCGAACGGGUGGCUUCUAGCCUGGUGGCUUUGGGGAUGUUGUCCGUAAAGGUGGAUGAGUGGUUUUUGGUUUGUCACGUGUGGUUGGCUGCGGCGUUUGCAACAACUUCCAUGCUUUCAGACCUCUUCAGUUGUGCGGCAAGGCUUGUAUCGCCUUGCCGUAUUGCGGGUUUUCUGUGUUGAAUACCUAAUCAAUGGUAUCGGUUGGAUUGAUCAAUGUUUCAUUUCGUCUGUCGUCGCAUUCGUGGCGUGAGACGAACCUUGAUGCGGUCUCUUUGGUCCACCUCGGCGAAGCACAUGCUUUGACGUUGUGGCACAUUGAGCGUUGCUUGGUCUCUUGUAUACGGAACAUAUAGUGGGCACGGAUCUAACGAUUCUUCUUUGCCCUCAUGUUAGCRUAACGCUUCUCUUACACGACUUGCUCCACGUUUUAGCUCGUACGGACGUGGUUCUAUGUCGAAGAGGAAUGCUACCU
rnacentral:misc_RNA from 1 species